UCUCUGGUGGCUCAGACGGUAAAGUGUCUGCCUAUAAUGCAGGAGACCCAGGUUCAAUCCCUGGGUCGGGAA
rnacentral:tRNA from 1 species